rnacentral:rRNA from 1 species
CCUACGGGAGGCAGCAGUGGGGAAUAUUGGACAAUGGGGGGAACCCUGAUCCAGCCAUGCCGCGUGUGUGAAGAAGGCCCUCGGGUUGUAAAGCACUUUCAGUGAGGAAGAACGCCUGGUGGUUAAUACCCAUCAGGAAAGACAUCACUCACAGAAGAAGCACCGGCUAACUCCGUGCCAGCAGCCGCGGUAAUACGGAGGGUGCGAGCGUUAAUCGGAAUUACUGGGCGUAAAGCGCGGUAGGUGGCUUGAUAAGCCGGUUGUGAAAGCCCCGGGCUCAACCUGGGAACGGCAUCCGGAACUGUCAAGCUAGAGUGCAGGAGAGGAAGGUAGAAUUCCCGGUGUAGCGGUGAAAUGCGUAGAGAUCGGGAGGAAUACCAGUGGCGAAGGCGGCCUUCUGGACUGACAAUGACACUGAGGUGCGAAAGCGUGGGUAGCAAACAGGAUUAGAUACCCUAGUAGUC